rnacentral:lncRNA from 1 species
CAAUCCUGCAGGUUGAACAACCUGUGAGAACUCUUCUGAGCAGAGGGGAGCCAUGUUUGAUGGCUGGCACAGUGCGUCUGUUUCACACAGGAACCUCCUCACCUAAGCCAGUCUGGCUUGCUUGGAGAGCUCUGAGCCAAUGAGAAACACCAUCUCAAAAAUGGCUUGGAAUUGAAUCUGCAGCUUCAAGCUGAGUCAUGCUGUCUGCCCAUGCGCUCUCAUUUCAGGUAACUGAGAUCAAGCCUGCCUUCUGCAUUUCUUAAACUAAUUCUGGGACUAUCUGUGUCAGACUCUCUCCAUGGAGGCUAGGUAUGCAAGAUGCAGGCAUUACCUCAUCUGAAGAGUGGUAGCCACUGGACUCAGAAAUGGCAAGGAGAACAAGCCACAAAGGCAGGUGGUGUGGACCUAUAUCAAACAGUGAUCCAGAGAGCAAUCCAGCAAGCAGUGUUCCUCUGUGGUUCUGCCUCCAGUUUCUAC